AGGCAUACACAUGCAAAUCGAACGGUAACAGGAAGCAGCUUGCUGCUUCGCUGACGAGUGGCGGACGGGUGAGUAAUGUCUGGGAAACUGCCUGAUGGAGGGGGAUAACUACUGGAAACGGUGGCUAAUACCGCAUAACGUCGCAAGACCAAAGAGGGGGACCUUCGGGCCUCUUGCCAUCAGAUGUGCCCAGAUGGGAUUAGCUUGUUGGUGAGGUAACGGCUCACCAAGGCGACGAUCCCUAGCUGGUCUGAGAGGAUGACCAGCCACACUGGAACUGAGACACGGUCCAGACUCCUACGGGAGGCAGCAGUGGGGAAUAUUGCACAAUGGGCGCAAGCCUGAUGCAGCCAUGCCGCGUGUAUGAAGAAGGCCUUCGGGUUGUAAAGUACUUUCAGCGGGGAGGAAGGUGUUGUGGUUAAUAACCGCAGCAAUUGACGUUACCCGCAGAAGAAGCACCGGCUAACUCCGUGCCAGCAGCCGCGGUAAUACGGAGGGUGCAAGCGUUAAUCGGAAUUACUGGGCGUAAAGCGCACGCAGGCGGUCUGUCAAGUCGGAUGUGAAAUCCCCGGGCUCACCCUGGGAACUGCAUUCGAAACUGGCAGGCCUGAGUCUGGUAGAGGGGGGUAGAAUCCAGGGGUAGCGGUGAAAUGCGUUGAGAUCUUGAGGAAUACGGGUGCGAAGGCGGGCCCCUGGACAAAGACUGACCCC
rnacentral:rRNA from 1 species